CAGCCGCCGCGGUAAUACGUAGGUGGCAAGCGUUGUCCGGAAUUAUUGGGCGUAAAGGGCUCGCAGGCGGUUUCUUAAGUCUGAUGUGAAAGCCCCCGGCUCAACCGGGGAGGGUCACUGGAAACUGGGAAACUUGAGUGCAGAAGAGGAGAGUGGAAUUCCACGUGUAGCGGUGAAAUGCGUAGAGAUGUGGAGGAACACCAGUGGCGAAGGCGACUCUCUGGUCUGUAACUGACGCUGAGGAGCGAAAGUGUGGGGAGCGAACAGGAUUAGAUACCCGCGUAGUCCCUGUCUCUUAUAC
rnacentral:rRNA from 1 species